UCGAACGAUGAACCGGUUUCGGCCGGGGAUUAGUGGCGAACGGGUGAGUAACACGUGGGCAAUCUGCCCUGCACUCUGGGACAAGCCCUGGAAACGGGGUCUAAUACCGGAUAUGACACGCUCCCGCAUGGGAUGCGUGUGGAAAGCUCCGGCGGUGCAGGAUGAGCCCGCGGCCUAUCAGCUUGUUGGUGGGGUGAUGGCCUACCAAGGCGACGACGGGUAGCCGGCCUGAGAGGGCGACCGGCCACACUGGGACUGAGACACGGCCCAGACUCCUACGGGAGGCAGCAGUGGGGAAUAUUGCACAAUGGGCGAAAGCCUGAUGCAGCGACGCCGCGUGAGGGAUGACGGCCUUCGGGUUGUAAACCUCUUUCAGCAGGGAAGAAGCGAGAGUGACGGUACCUGCAGAAGAAGCGCCGGCUAACUACGUGCCAGCAGCCGCGGUAAUACGUAGGGCGCAAGCGUUGUCCGGAAUUAUUGGGCGUAAAGAGCUCGUAGGCGGCUUGUCGCGUCGGAUGUGAAAGCCCGGAGCUUAACUCCGGGUCUGCAUUCGAUACGGGCAGGCUAGAGUUCGGUAGGGGAGAUCGGAAUUCCUGGUGUAGCGGUGAAAUGCGCAGAUAUCAGGAGGAACACCGGUGGCGAAGGCGGAUCUCUGGGCCGAUACUGACGCUGAGGAGCGAAAGCGUGGGGAGCGAACAG
rnacentral:rRNA from 1 species